rnacentral:rRNA from 1 species
CCUACGGGAGGCUGCAGUAGGGAAUAUUGCUCAAUGGGGGAAACCCUGAAGCAGCAACGCCGCGUGGAGGAUGAAGGUUUUCGGAUUGUAAACUCCUUUUGUUAGAGGAGAUAAUGACGGUAUCUAACGAAUAAGCACCGGCUAACUCCGUGCCAGCAGCCGCUAUCAUACGGAGGGUGCCAGCGUUACUCCGAAUCACUGGGCGUAAAGAGGGCGUAUGCGGGAUAGCAAGUCAGAUGUGAAAUCCUAUGGCUUAACCAUAGAACUGCAUUUGAAACUGUUGUUCUAGAGUAUGGGAGAGGUAGGUGGAAUUCUUGGUGUAGGGGUAAAAUCCGUAGAGAUCAAGAGGAAUACUCAUUGCGAAGGCGACCUGCUAGAACAUAACUGACGCUGAUGCGCGAAAGCGUGGGGAGCAAACAGGAUUAGAUACCCCGGUAGUC